UACGGGGGGUGCAAGCGUUAUCCGGAUUCACUGGGUUUAAAGGGUGCGUAGGAGGGCAGGUAAGUCAGUGGUGAAAUCUCCAAGCUUAACUUGGAAACUGCCGUUGAUACUAUCUGUCUUGAAUAUUGUGGAGGUGAGCGGAAUAUGUCAUGUAGCGGUGAAAUGCUUAGAUAUGACAUAGAACACCAAUUGCGAAGGCAGCUCGCUACACAUAUAUUGACUCUGAGGCACGAAAGCGUGGGGAUCAAACAGG
rnacentral:rRNA from 1 species